AUUGAACGCUGGCGGCAUGCUUUACACAUGCAAGUCGAGCGGCAGCGCGGGGCAACCUGGCGGCGAGCGGCGAACGGGUGAGGAAUACAUCGGAACGUGCCCGAGAGUGGGGGAUAACGCCGCGAAAGCUGCGCUAAUACCGCAUAUUCUCUGAGGAGGAAAGUGGGGGACCGCAAGGCCUCACGCCCACGGCGCGGCCGAUGUCGGAUUAGCUAGUUGGUGGGGUAAAGGCUUACCAAGGCGACGAUCCGUAGCUGGUCUGAGAGGAUGAUCAGCCACACUGGGACUGAGACACGGCCCAGACUCCUACGGGAGGCAGCAGUGGGGAAUUUUGGACAAUGGGGGCAACCCUGAUCCAGCCAUGCCGCGUGCGGGAAGAAGGCCUUCGGGUUGUAAACCGCUUUUAGCCGGGAAGAAAAGGCGCCACCUAAUACGGGGCGUUCUUGACGGUACCGGCGGAAUAAGCACCGGCUAACUACGUGCCAGCCGCCGCAGUAACAC
rnacentral:rRNA from 1 species